ACUGCUUGUGGUUUGCUGAACGAAGUGAGUCAAAGGGCGUCAGAGGGAGCAACUUUGGAGCACACAGGAGGGAGGUGCCAAGGACUCCUUUGCCGGACUCGCAGCCCCGGGUACUGAGGACAAACCUGCUCUGCUACUGAAUAGCUGUGAGUCCUUGGUCACUGACUUCACCACUCUGUGCCUCGAUUUCCCCAUCGAUGAAAUAGGGAUUAUGAAAGAACUCUCCACACAAGGCAUGGACUCCAGGCUGCCUGCCCUCUGGCUCCCUCCCCGUAGGACUUCAUGACAAACUCACUCCCUGCGUGCCCUCGUCCGGAUGUCUGCUUAAGCGCUUUCAUUUGGCUGUGGGUGCACGCUCAGUCAGAAGUUCCAGAGAGUUGGAACUAGCCCCUGGAAUUAGCCCGCAGCUCACGACUGGGGGAUGUUGGAAGG